AUUGAUUUUUCAGUUCAGCAAAACACAGAUAAGAAUGUCAAAAAUAUUGAAGAAUCAUCGAUAUUUCGUAAUAAUCGAUUUAUAUCGCCCGUCACUACGACUUAUGUUCCGUUCGCGCAGAAACACGUGACACGUUGAUAAAGAGAGCAGCGGGGAUCGAAAGGAGGGUAAGCUCACGCAUUAUCUUGAUAUUUGGAGGCGAAAUUCAUUAUGUUUAUCCUCAGAGAUGCUAGUAAAGAUGAUUGUGGAGCAAUAAUAACACUUAUAAAGGAUUUAGCUACUUAUGAAAAGAUGCCAGAGGGACCAAAAAUUGAUGAACAUG